AUGGGGAGCAGGGGGGGGGCCGCCCGUCUCCUCGCCCCGCUGAGCAUCACCCCGCUGCUGCUCGGCCCUGAGAACGGCACCGGGAGGAAUCCCACGGCAGAGGAGGAAACCAGAGGGAGAAAACCAGGCCAAGCGCCCCGUGUGCCCGGCCGGCCUCGGCACGGCCCCGCAGCGCAGGGGCUGCGAGCACCAAAACCCCCCCCAGGACCUCCUCAUCCGAGGCGGGGAGCAGCGGGCGAGCUUUUCGGGGAAGGCUCCUCGAAUUCAGGAAGCAAAACCCGGCCCUGGCAGGGCUGCUGCGAGCCUGGAGCCCCGAUAAGGAGGAGAGGAAACAGCCGGCACUGCGCUCGGGUCCCCGGUGAGCCCAGGGUGCUGGGGACACCGCUGGGGACAGCUCCAGCAGCCCCGGGACGCUGGCACAGCUCGUGCCGGAGGGUGGGGAACAGAAAAAAGCCGACGUCUGCUUGUGCUGCAGGGCCCCCCCCUAUUUUUUUUUUUUUUUUUUUUUUUUUUUUGCCGACCUCAGCCAAGAGGCGGAUGCCAUUGGUGGGAAGCCGGAGUUAUUUGGGGAAUGCUGAACUCCGCACCGCCGGAGCAGCAGGGGAGGAGGUUGGUUUUAAUUUAACCGGCCGUGCUCAGCCCUCCCCUCUCACCUUUGGACUGGCUGAAACGUGCGGGCUGAGCCCUGGCGAGGAGCAGGGGGCAGCGGGGGCUUCUCCCACCCCAAGGCACUGCGGGGGUCCCGGGGGUCCCGGUCCCGCUCCCCUGCAGCCCGGCCGCAGCAGCCUCCCACGUCGCAGGCCCAGGGCAGGGAUUUCUCAGGCAGAGAAAAAAGAAAAGCAGGCGGAUGCAAAGCCUCCAAAAUACCCAGCUUUAAUCUGUAAACUCGCACAGAGACACCCGGCAGGACAGCGGGGGCGAAGGAGCCACCGGGGCAGGGGGGGGGGUGCUGAGGGGGUGCUGUGCCCGGCAGCCCCCCUGUGCAUGGGGGUCGUGUGCCCUGCAGCUGCCCCCGGCACCUCCAGCAGCACCCCAAAUAUUCUCCGUCCCAAAUAUUCCCUGUCCCAAAUAUUCCUGUCCUGGUGCCCUGCAUGGCACAGGGUGCUGGGGGGGGGGGUGAUGCUGAGCACUGGAGCUGCAGCCCCGCGAUGCCUGAGCCUCGCUGCCCGCACCCCGCAGCCCGCCGAGCUCAUUUUGGGACACGCAUGA
rnacentral:lncRNA from 1 species